GGGGCUGUGGCGCAGUCUGGUAGCGCAUCACACUGGCAGUGUGAGGGUCAGGGGUUCGAAUCCCCUCAGCUCCACCA
rnacentral:tRNA from 9 species